GUUAGAACGCUCGUAGUCGGAUUUCGGGGCGGGCCGACCGGUCUGCCGAUGGGUACGCACUGGUCGGCGCGUCCUUCCUUCCGGAGACCGUGCCUACUCUUAACUGAGCGGGGGCGGGAGACGGAACGUUUACUUUGAAAAAAUCAGAGUGUUUCAAGCAGGCAGCUCGCUCUUGCAUGGAUUAGCAUGGGAUAAUGAAAUAGGACUUUGGUGCUAUUUUGUUGGUUUCGAACACCGAAGUAAUGAUGAGAAGGGACAGUCAGGGGCACUCGUAUUCCGCCGAGAGAGGUGAAAUUCUCAGACCAGCGGAAGACGAACCACUGCGAAAGCAUUUGCCAGGGAUGUUUUCACUGAUCAAGAACGAAAGUUAGGGGAUCGAAGACGAUCAGAUACCGUCGUAGUCUUAACCAUAAACCAUGCCGACUAGGGAUUGGAGGAUGUUCACUGAUUGACUCCUUCAGCACCUUACGGGAAACUAAAGUCUUUGGGUUCCGGGGGGAGUAUGGUCGCAAGGCUGAAACUUAAAGGAAUUGACGGAAGGGCACCACCAGGUGUGGAGCCUGCGGCUUAAUUUGACUCAACACGGGGAAACUUACCAGGUCCAGACAUUGUGAGGAUUGACAGAUUGAGAGCUCUUUCUUGAUUCGAUGGGUGGUGGUGCAUGGCCGUUCUUAGUUGGUGGAGUGAUUUGUCUGGUUAAUUCCGUU
rnacentral:rRNA from 1 species